rnacentral:rRNA from 1 species
CGCGUAGGCGGUGAGGUAAGUGGGAUGUGAAAUCCUCCGGCUCACCCGGAGACAUGCAUCUCAUACUGCUUCGCUAGAGUGCAGCAGAGGAAACGGGAAUUCCUGGUGUAGCGGUGAAAUGCGUAGAUAUCAGGAGGAACACCGGUGGCGAAGGCGCGUUUCUGGGCUGCUACUGACGCUGAUGCGCGAAAGCUGGGGGAGCGAACGGGAUUAGAUACCCCGGUAGUCCCAGCCGUAAACGGUGAACACUAGGUGUGGGGAGUAUCGACCCUCUCCGUGCCGCAGCUAACGCAUUAAGUGUUCCGCCUGGGGAGUACGGUCGCAAAGGCUAGAA